rnacentral:rRNA from 1 species
UACGUAGGGUGCAAGCGUUGUCCGGAAUUAUUGGGCGUAAAGAGCUCGUAGGCGGUUUGUCACGUCGGAUGUGAAACCCCGGGGCUCAACCUCGGGUCUGCAGUCGAUACGGGCGGACUGGAGUUCGGCAGGGGAGACUGGGAAUUCCUGGUGUAGCGGUGAAAUGACGCAGAUAUCAGGAGGAACACCGGUGGCGAAGGCGGUCUCUGGGCCUGUACUGACGUGAGGAGCGAAAGCGUGGGGAGCGAACAGG